rnacentral:misc_RNA from 1 species
ACUUAGAUAAAUCUGAAUUUGAAUUGUCCCAAGGUAAAAUUAUGUAGCUGGAUCAAUUAAAAUUAACAUCGAAAUUUCUAUAGAAUUUCCAUUAAGAUUAUCCAGUACCUAUGUUAAAGACAGUUAAUCCUAAAAUCGAACUACAAAAUUCUAUGUCUUCAUGAACAAAUAAAACCAAGGAAAUUGGGUUUUUAAAUUUUUAUUGAAUACACAAGUAAGGAUUUAAAAAUGUAAUUUUUCACCACUCACAAUACAUACCUUUUAUUUAGACCUCGCACGCAUCUUCCUACGUUUACGCUUUAGCCUUCGCAUACGCUUCUUACGCCACUGAAAAAGCUUUGCUCUCAUAUUCGUAAGCGGUAAGUUUUACUGGUGCACUUUUAAUGGGCUUCACAGCUCGGCGGAUUGAAAAGAAAUAUUACGAUUAAGGAAGAGUAGUUCUCCCGUGCUCAAUCUAAACGAAAAGACAGGAUAUUUGGAAUGAGAAUGUUACCAUAAAAUUUACAGUUAUUUAAUGUUACCAGUAUAUAGUAGCUGAUUGGUAUCUUUAUAAACAUUUUGUUACAUUACAUUACAUCUUUAACUUUCAAGGUACUAGCAGACAAACUUAUCACU